AUACGUAGGGGGCGAGCGUUGUCCGGAAUGAUUGGGCGUAAAGGGCGCGUAGGCGGCGCGGUAAGUCUGGAGUGAAAGUCCUGCUUUCAAGGUGGGAAUUGCUUUGGAUACUGCCGCGCUUGAGUGCAGGAGAGGUUAUCGGAAUUCCCGGUGUAGCGGUGAAAUGCGUAGAGAUCGGGAGGAACACCAGUGGCGAAGGCGGGUAACUCGGCUGCAACUGACACUGAGGUGCGAAAGUGUGUGGAGCAAACAGGAUGUGAUACCCUGGUUGUCCACACUGUGAACGGUGAAUGCUAGGUGUAAGAGCCAUCGACCCCUUUUGUGCCUUAGUCAACACAAUAAGCAUUCCGCCUCGGGAGUUCGGCCGCAAGGUUGAAGCUCAAAGGAAUUGACGUGG
rnacentral:rRNA from 1 species